rnacentral:rRNA from 1 species
UACGUAGGGUGCAAGCGUUAUCCGGAUUUACUGGGCGUAAAGCGCGUUCAGGCGGUUUGGCAAGUCGGGCAUGAAAUCUCUCGGCUCAACCGGGAGAGGUUGUCCGAUACUGCUGGACUUGAGGGCAGUAGAGGGUGGUGGAAUUCCGGGUGUAGUGGUGAAAUGCGUAGAUAUCCGGAGGAACACCAGUGGCGAAAGCGGCCACCUGGACUGUACCUGACGCUCAAACGCGAAAGCUAGGGGAGCGAACGGG